GAAAUGCGAUAAGUAAUGUGAAUUGCAGAAUUCCGUGAAUCAUCGAAUCUUUGAACGCACAUUGCGCCCUCUGGCACUCCGGGGGGCAUGCCUGUCCGAGCGUCAUUACGCACCCUCAAGCCCGGCUUGUGUGAUGGGCCCCGGCGUCUCGUUCGCGAGACGGGCCCGAAAGGCAGCGGCGGCGUCGACCCGAUGAGCCCGAGCGUAUGGGGACUUCUGUCACACGUUCGCGGUGCGGACCGGCGCCUGCUUGACUUUUCUGAUUAUCCAGGUUGACCUCGGAUCAGGUAGGGAUACCCGCUGAGCUUAAGC
rnacentral:misc_RNA from 1 species